rnacentral:misc_RNA from 1 species
UUCACCUCACCUAACCAAUGGUUUUUAAAAGCUGUAAUGGCGCCAAUCGGUUAAGUGGUUCUGAGUGCUUCCCACUUGUUAAACGAGAGGGUCACUUGAAAUUCUUGGUAGCUUAUGAGUAGAGAUUGCUUCGCAUAUUUCGGAAACGCUCAAAGUACCGCUAAGUUUAAGCCUUCAAAGGUCACUCUUUAGCUGGGAAAGUUUCUGAAACGAGGUGUUUUCACUGCUUUUACCAAAAUUGAUAUUGAUUUGGCAGCCGUAGUUGCUGUUGAUCAAAAUCUUUAAACC